rnacentral:rRNA from 1 species
AUACGUAGGUGGCAAGCGUUGUCCGGAAUUAUUGGGCGUAAAGCGCGCGCAGGCGGUCCUUUAAGUCUGAUGUGAAAGCCCACGGCUCAACCGUGGAGGGUCAUCGGAAACUGGGGGACUUGAGUGCAGAAGAGGAAAGUGGAAUUCCAAGUGUAGCGGUGAAAUGCGUAGAGAUUUGGAGGAACACCAGUGGCGAAGGCGACUUUCUGGUCUGUAACUGACGCUGAGGCGCGAAAGCGUGGGGAGCAAACAGGAUUAGAUACCCUGGUAGUCCACGCUGUAAACGAUGAGUGCUAAGUGUUAGGGGGUUUCCGCCCCUUAGUGCUGCAGCUAACGCAUUAAGCACUCCGCCUGGGGAGUACGGUCGCAAGACUGAAACUCAAAUGAAUUGACGGGG